rnacentral:lncRNA from 1 species
CAACCUGAGGGCAAGAGGUGAGCAUUAUUGUAGAGGCAUACACAGAACAAACAGGGCAGAGAGGUGGAGUGCAGCCCCUUCCCUUGGGGUCUCAGAGAGUGCAUCUGUUGGUCACAGGUGAAAUGGUGUCUGACCACUGGCUCCCGGAAAGGGUGCUGCAGCUCCACCUCAGAGGGCACUCCUGGAGGCUCCGGGAGCAGGGGUUCAGCUGAGAAAGGAAGCAGACAAUAAAGGCCUCUGGAUUCUCAAAAAAACAAACAAAAGAAAAACCCUCCUCUUGGUGCACAGCUCCUCUCAGGCUCCCCGAACUUGGCCUCACUGCUACUGAUUCCUCACACCCAGAUGGUAGCCAAUCUUCCAAGCCACUUUCAGAUAGAGAGCACUGUGGGUGGCUGACAACGGGCCCUCUUUGCUGAUGGGGACACUGAGGAUCAUGGAGAUGACAAGACUUGCUGUCUCUGGCACAGACCUCUUUCCUUCUGCCUCAAAGCCCUUCCAUUGACCCACCUCUCUGGGGCAUUCUAAGCCACUCCCACAGCCCUCUGAUGCCAGUCCUGCUCCCAGGUCAUGCCAGCCCCAUCUUACCCAUCUGGUUUUUGAGUUUGGACAAGCUCCUCUCCAGCUUCUCUCCCCGAUGUGUUUCAUACUUCUCCUUCUUCAAUGUGUGAACCUGCCCAAACCACAGGGGUAAAGAGCCCUGGAGAGAGGGGCUGGUGGCUGGACAGGCUGCCAUCUCCCUCUCUGCCCCCACCUCCACAAAGCCCAGACCCAGGACCACCUCUGGCUGUACUAUUCCCAUUUUACAGAUGCCCAGAAAGAUCCAGUGACUUAUCUAAGGUGGGGGGUUGAAGGGUCAGAUCUCACCUCCUGCGACAUUUUCCUCAUCCUCUGCUGCUCUGCUGCCACUGGGCCCUCUCUUCUUUUAUAUGUUGAGCAUAUUCAUCUCUCUCUAGCCGGAUUUGUUUAAGCAACUCCUUCAACUGCAAGAAUGGGCACAGAAGUUAGGAAGGGCUGUCACUGGUCCUCAGCUGCUCCUGGCCACCUGGCUCAUCUUCCUUCCACAUCCCUCCCACUGCAAAACCUCACCCAUGUAGUGUGUGCAUUCAGCAGUGCCUGCUCCUGUAUGGACCACUCUAACUACCACUCGAUAACUGCUUUACUGCGGCUCAAGGUCUGAAGGUGAAGAGUGAGAAGUUUCGAUCUGGAGAGCCCAGGCCAUUCCACACAGUGCCCCUUAAAAGGCCUGGGCUAGGCUCAGUAUACAACUUUGUCAGUAAAGAUCAAGGCCUUUCCAA